AUAUGAAUAUUGAUAUUGGUUUCCUGAUAAGGAAGCAUAUUGUGGUAUGUUAUUCCGACAUUGGAUUCCCGAUAAGGAAUCGCAUUGUAACAACCCAAAUAUCUUAAGCAGAUUUAAUUUAAAGCUAGUUAAUUUGUUUUAAAUUUAUUAUUAUAUUUUAGAUGAAUUUUGUUAGACAAAUUGAGUCAUAAAGAAAAAAAAAACCCUAAACCAUAUUCUUUCUCUCUCGUGGCUUUAUAUGGAAAUGCCACAUGAGUGUCUUGUUGUCAAAACCUUGUCUCAUUGCAACAAAAAAAUAAAGGAAGCCCAAAAACCCCAAACAAUAACUUUCUCUCUCCUCUGAUUUUAUACCCCGUACUGUGCAUGCUCAAUUUCUGCAUUUUGGAGUCGGAAUUUGCCAAAACUUAUUGAAUAAAAGUUGUAGAUCUCGAAAAGUUAUUGAACUUAGACCCAAAAAUCACUUGAUUUGGAGUUCGGAGCUAUGAGUUAUGGUCUUUGCAAAUUUGGUGUUCCUAUCUUUAUUUCUCUCUCCUCUGUUUUACUCCGACAAUCUGUUGCCCCAAUUAUCUACAACAUGCAAUCCAAUUUUGCUCUUUGUUGCUGAAUCAAAGUUGUAGAUCACUUCGAGCUAAUGAAUUUGGGCACAAAAAUCACUUGAUUUGGAGUUCGGAGCUAUGAGUUAUGGUCUUUGUAAGUUUGGUGUCCCUAUCUUCAUUUCUCUCUCCUCUGUUUUACUCCGACAAUCUGUUUCCUCAAUUAUCUACAACAUGCAGUCCAAUUUUGCUAUUUUUUGCUGAAUGAAAGUUGUAGAUCACUUCGAGCUAAUGAAUUUGGGCACAAAAAUCGCUCAAUUCGGAGUUCGAAACUGGGAGUUACGCCUCACACAAGUUCAGCACUGCUGCUGUACCUUGUGUUGCGCUGCUGUCGUGGUUGGAUUGUUUGCCCAUGUUGUCAUUGCUAACUUGUUGCCUUGUUGCUGCCAUUGUUGGUAUUCCUUUCCAUAUGAAGGUAUAAGCUAAUUUUUCUUAAUUCCUCAACUCCUUCGAUUCCAAUUCAAGUGUGGUGCAAUUGGAUUUUAUCUUAUGAUUUUAGAAAUAAACUUGGUUCUAAAUUUUGUUAUUGAUUAGCAAAUAUAGUUAUGAUAAGAGUUGUUAAACUUAAAGAUUGAAUAUUUAUCUUUCUUAUUGGAUUGAAGCUUCUAAUAUGAAGUAAGCCACUUAAGUAAGUUUAUAAAAACUGAUUUUUAUAAAUUUGUUGUUUGAUAAUACUCUUUGAAAUCAGAAUGAUGUUAAUUAGAGAUGGAAUUGAUGUUGUGAGUUGGAUUAGUAGAAUGGGUUAUAUAUAAGAGUUGUGGUGGUUAGUUCAUGGAAGAGCUUAGAAAGUAUGAGUAAUUCAAUUUGUUUAUCUAAUUGGUAGUAAGGAUGUUAAUUGUUGUUCAUAUUGUUGUGAGGUGAUUGUUGGAGAUUGAUAAAGAAUUUAGAGAUGUCGGAUCUUGAAGAAUUAUUAUGGAAUUGAGCAUUCCAUGGGGAAAAUGAAGGAGAGUUCUUUGUUAGUGAUCUUGCAGGUUCGUGCGUGGAAAACUCGGAAUGGAGUAAAGGAAGAAUUUAGGUAUCAAGGUUAUAGUGAGAUGUAAUGGUUCAGAGUUUGUAUUAGGGUUAUAUAACCUUAUUUGUGAAGAAAUUAUUAUAGUGCUUUAGAAGUCGAACAAGGUAUUAUUGUAAUAUGUUAUUGGUUAUUGAGGAUGUGUUUGUGGGCCCUGACCCACAGGUCCAGGAUCGUGUAUUGAAGGUUUUAUUCCGCUGCGAGUAAAUAAUUAAUUCGAGGCUAUUAAGUGUUGAUUGUGUUUUGUGUA